UACGAAGGGGGCUAGCGUUGCUCGGAAUGACUGGGCGUAAAGGGCGCGUAGGCGGAUUGUACAGUCAGGCGUGAAAUUCCCGGGCUCAACCUGGGGGCUGCGCUUGAGACGUGCGAUCUUGAGUGUGGUAGGGGUAGAGGGAAUUUCCAGUGAAGUGGUGAAAUGCGUAGAUAUUGGAAAGACCACCAAUGGCGAAGGCACUCUACUGGGCCACUACUGACACUGAGAGACGAAAGCUAGGGGAGCAAAUGGG
rnacentral:rRNA from 1 species